AAUAUUGGACAACCGGGGCAACCCUGAUCCAGCCAUGCCGCGUCUGUGAAGAAGGCUUUCCGAUUGUAACUCCCCUUAAGUUGGGCGGAAGGGCUCUAGGCUAAUCCCCUGCCGUUGGGCCGAUACCAACACAAUCACCACCGGCUCACUCUGCGCCAGCCGCCGCGGUAAUACAGCUAGCGCAAGCGUUAGUCGGAAGUACUGGGCUGAAAGCGCGCGUAGGUGGUUCAGUAAGAUGGGUGUGAAAUCCCCGGGCUUAACCUGGGAACUGCUUUCAUAACUGAUGUGCUAGAGUACGGUAGAGGUUGGUGGAAUUUCCUGUGUAGCGGUGAAAUGCGUAGAUAUAGGAGGGAACACCAGUGGCGAAGGCGACUACCUGAACUGAUACUGACACUGAGGUGCGAAAGCGUGGGGAGCAAACA
rnacentral:rRNA from 1 species